CAGUGAAUAGUUUAUUAAAAAUUUAAGUUUUGGGGAUUUAGGAUGAGUUAUUACUUUUCACUGA
rnacentral:tRNA from 1 species